rnacentral:rRNA from 1 species
GUGAGGGAUUUUCGGCAAUGGGCGAAAGCCUGACCGAGCGACGCCGCGUGAGCGAAGAAGGCCUUCGGGUCGUAAAGCUCUGUCUAGGGGGACGAGAGAGGACGGUACCCCUGGAGGAAGCCACGGCUAACUACGUGCCAGCAGCCGCGGUAAUACGUAGGUGGCGAGCGUUGUCCGGAAUUACUGGGCGUAAAGGGCGCGCAGGCGGCGCGUUAAGUCCGGGGUGAAAUCCCACGGCUCAACUGUGGGGGGACCCUGGAUACUGGCGUGCUGGAGUGCGGGAGAGGGAAGCGGAAUUCCACGUGUAACGGUGAAAUGUAUAGAUAUGUGGAGGAACACCGGUGGCGAAGGCGGCUUCCUGGACCGUAACUGACGCUGAGGCGCGAAAGCUGGGGGAGCGAACAGGAUUAGAUACCCGAGUAGUCC